UAACUGGAGAGUUUGAUUCUGGCUCAGAUUGAACGCUGGCGGCGUGCCUAACACAUGCAAGUCGAGCGAAUUUCAGGGGCUUGCUCCUGAAAUUAGCGGCGCACGGGUGAGUAACACGUGGAUAAUCUACCCAUGAGUUCGGGAUAACAGUUGGAAACGGCUGCUAAUACCGGAUACGAGUACGAAAUCAAGCCGUACUGAAAGGCGGGGCAACCUGCCGCUGAUGGAUGAGUCCGCGUCUCAUUAGGUAGUUGGUGAGGUAAAGGCCCACCAAGCCUGUGAUGAGUAGCCGGCCUGAGAGGGUGAACGGCCACACUGGGACUGGAACACGGCCCAGACUCCUACGGGAGGCAGCAGUGGGGAAUAUUGCGCAAUGGGCGAAAGCCUGACGCAGCGACGCCGCGU
rnacentral:rRNA from 1 species